GGCCUCAUCGUUCAACGGAUAGGACUAAAGCCUUCUAAGCUUUCAAUCGGGGUUCGAAUCCCUGUGGGGUCACAA
rnacentral:tRNA from 1 species